AGUGGAUCAAAAUAUCUGCCCUCAGAUGAUGCUGGAAAACUUCAGGACACUAACAAUGCCCCUCAUUCCACCCUCCCUUUUCUUCUGCGGGACCAGGCUGAGAAUUGAAGACUUCAUCUGCAUCAGAUAAUAUCAUCAAUAGUCUUUAACCCUUGGCCUUCCCAGGAGUAAAAGAAGACUUGACAUACAGAAAGAGAAAAAUAAAUGCUCUUAGAAGUGAAAUUAGAGCUCCUGAGAGAAGCUUCCUGCCUUGAAGACCUCAUGACCUUGAUCCACAGGCCUGUCUACUACCAAGUGCCCAUGAGGACAGUUUGAGAAUAAAUAGUGAAAUUUAUUACACUAUCUUGUGCUAGUAAAAACAGACUGAUAAUUUCUGCAUUUCUCCUCUGGCUGGGAAAUGCCUCAUCCUUUUUCAGCAUCUCCUCUUCUCUCUGCAGUCUUUAUCUUAAGGAAAUAAGAAAUGAUCUAUGUUGUGCCCAGGAAGGUCUUCUUUACCUCUGCUACUUUGGAGGAGUUGUGUUCAUGUUCCUGUCGCCUUGUUUCUGCCAUUUGGCCCUCCAUGAGGAAGGUGAAGACAAGUUUUCCUCUAUCCUACUGAGCCCACUGGCCUUGGAAAGAUAAUCCUUGUUCCACAUGUUGGCAAUGAUAGAGGGAAAAGACUGAAGAGAGCAGGUAUGGUAAAAGGGUAAAGGAAAAAGAUCAAAUAUGUGAGCAAAAAUGAGUACAAACCAGCAGAGUACAAAAAAAACCACCAUCAAAAUGAGGCAGAGACACAACAGAGAGGCUAAGGAGAAUUUUUGUUCCUGCUAGAUUUGCAUGCUUCGUGUGGCUUCCUUUCACAUUAAAUAUUCAUGUGCCUAAU